UCACGUCCCAUGGGUGUAUACUUCCAACGCACUGCCUGCUUGAUGGCUGGUGUCCAGCGGGGCCCCUCCAGGGACAGGUAGUCAUCACUAAGGGUAGAGGUAGGGGGCAGAGGCUAAGCCCGUGGCUGUCCCCUGCCCCUCCCUGGGCCACAGCUUGCCCAUCUUUAGAAUGGGUCUUCUACCCUCACUGCCACAUGUGACAUGGAGGGUGCAAAGGCCCAGUCCACACCACAGAGGGCCUUCCUCCAGCUCCACUUGGCCAUGUGUCCUCAGCACUGGACCUCCCGUCCAGGCUGGCAGGAGAGGCCCCCUCCUCUCUGCCACAUCCGCCCCAGAACCCUCACUUAACCUUUCACCUUUUCUUGCCUCUCCCCCAAGGGACACCAGGGAGUGAGGAUAUAAAAGCUGUGGCCACUCCUCUGGUCCUAAGUCCUUGUCCAGCCUCCAGGAAGUCCCUUGGUCCAUAGGCACACCAGGAAGACGUGGUCUCAGCUGAAAAACCACCAAUGCUGUUCAUGUGAAGCUGCAGGGAAACUUGCUUAAGCAUAACCCUCACAUGGCUGUUCCUUCUGGAACGCAUCCUCAUAGCACCACUGCUCGAGGGACAGAGAUGGGCGUGCUCACCUAGUGAGCUGCUCCUGGAAAAUCCCCGGGGAGUGAGCCUGGCCUGGCGGCCCAGGAGGCCUCAGCAGGGCCACUGACAGAACACUGUCAUCGCUGCCUGCAGAGCCCGGCUAGUUCUCCCUCCAGCAGAUUUGACAGGAGCAUCAAAACUAGAAACACAGGGUCUCGUCAAAGGUGGAACGAGCCUGGUAGGUUCAGGAACAUCGGUCUCAGAAACCUGGCGGACCGGACUUGCCACCCAAAGGGCCAUUUCAAGGUCGCCUGGGGUACCCCGCCCUUUUGAAACUAAGAUUUCUAAACUGCAAAAUGCACAUGGUCUGUAAAAUGUGGUUAAAAUGCUCCAGUGUAACACACA